AUGAACGCUAGCGGCAGGCUAACACAUGCAAGUCGAGGGGCAGCACAGGUAGCAAUACUGGGUGGCGACCGGCGGAUGGGUGCGUAACGCGUAUGCAACCUACCAUUGAUUGGGGCAUAGCCCGAAGAAAUUCGGAUUAAUACUCCAUAAUAUUCAUCAAAGGCAUCUUUUAUGAAUUAAAGCUUUUGCGAUCAAUGAUGGGCAUGCGUGACAUUAGUUAGUUGGUGAGGUAACGGCUCACCAAAACGAUGAUGUCUAGGGGUUCUGAGAGGAUUAUCCCCCACACUGGUACUGAGACACGGACCAGACUCCUACGGGAGGCAGCAGUGAGGAAUAUUGGUCAAUGGACGCAAGUCUGAACCAGCCAUGCCGCGUGCAGGAUGACGGCCCUAUGGGUUGUAAACUGCUUUUCCACGGGAAGAACCCUCCGACGUGUCGGAGACUGACGGUACCGUGGGAAUAAGCAUCGGCUAACUCCGUG
rnacentral:rRNA from 1 species